AAGUCGGGGAAGCUAACUCGGAGUCCUGGCAUUAAAUUGCAAAGAAAUGAAAUAUGAUUUCUGGAUUUUCGAAGGAAGGUCCGCCCAUCAAUAAAAAACCACUUUUCGAAAGGAAAGUUGUCGUGAGGCAAAGCUCUGCUACAGAAACGCCACAGCCUGUUUGGAGUUGUGAACCAUGCGGGGAACUAAGAAGAACAGGAUUUGAUGAAACGAGCAACUUGGUUGAUGCAAGGGUAACGUAUGUAUGCCCGCUCAGUCGAAUGUUAGCAUGUUCUCAUUCGCGAAAGCGAAGAACAACAGAAGGUGGCCUACCCCGACUU
rnacentral:RNase_P_RNA from 1 species